GCCUCCGCUCCCGCCCCCCCUCACUGCCUCCUGCCAGCCCCUUAACGCACGUUCUGCCCCUGCUUUUUCCUCAGGCCCAGCAGAGUAGGGGUGUGGGGACCCAGUCUCCCUUCACGAAGCUCUGACUUGUUCUCUUCCUGCCGCCACCAGUCCGUGAGGAGAGGCCAGGGCAGGUGUCCUCCCUGCACGGAAGCCAGUGCCUCCUUCCUGUAGGGGCCAUGAGCCCCCCACGUCCUUGUUCAAGUUCAGGUGCUCAGCCAGAUGGCCCCUGACCCCUGCAUGGAGGAAAGCAUGCCCCUUGCUGCCGGGAAGGUCGUCUGUGCAAACGAGUGGCCGCGGAUCGCAUCAGCCGAGAGUCACCACCCCGUGUUGCAGAAAUCAAGUCCAGAAACUUGUUACAGAGAAAACCACAGGCCAGAAACGGAGUCACUGUGCCGAAGCCCCUGGCGCCGAGACUGGACUUGUUACCUGACUUAGGUGCAGCUUCAGGCUUCUCCAGGACUGGAGUCUGGGGUUUUCCGGUCAGUACCAACAAGGCUAUCUGUCCCCCAAACUCCUGCCAUCUCCCUGCUGAGACCCCCUCACCUUCCCCCAUACAAUCACAAUCCUUUCUUUGCUAGUUUUUUUUUCCUGUCCAGUUUCUGCCUAUACUGUCCCCUUCUCAGAGCACCUCUGCUCACAAGAUGGGAUGAAUCACUCAAUAAAGCUCCUUAGAUCUGCAAA